UCGCCUGUUUAUCAAAAACAUGGCUUCUUGAGAAUAUAGGAGGUUUGACCUGCCCACUGAGGUGUUUGAAGGGCCGCAGUAUAUUGACUGUGCAAAGGUAGCAUAAUCAUUAGUCUUCUAAUUUAAGGCUUGUAUGAAUGGUUGGACGAGGCAUUUUCUGUCUUAAAUUAAUUCGUGUUGAAUUUAAAGUUUAAGUAAAAAUGCUUAAAUAAUAUUAAGGGACGAGAAGACCCUAUAGAGUUUAAUGUAUAAAAUUAUAAUUUUGUUAUAAAGGAAUAAUUUAUUAUAAUGGGUAUAUAUUUAGUUGGGGUGAUUAAAAGAUAAAAUUAACUCUUUUUUGUAGUAUAUGAGAAUUAUUAAUAUAAUAGAUUGAUCCAUUAGUUAUGAUUAUAAGAUUAAAUUACCUUAGGGAUAACAGCAUAAUUCUUUUUAAAAGUUCAUAUUGAAAGAAGAGGUUAUGACCUCGAUGUUGGAUUAAGAUAAUUUUACGUGUAGAUGUUUAAAAACUAGGUCUGUUCGACCUUUAAAAUCUUACAUGAUCUG
rnacentral:rRNA from 1 species